UAGGGAAUUUUCGUCAAUGGGCGCAAGCCUGAACGAGCAAUGCCGCGUGAACGAGGAAGGUCUUCGGAUCGUAAAGUUCUGUUGAAGGGGAAAAAGAGCGGAGAGAGGAAAUGGUCUCCGAUUGAUAUUACCCUUCGAGGAAGUCACGGCUAACUACGUGCCAGCAGCCGCGGUAAUACGUAGGUGGCGAGCGUUAUCCGGAAUGAUUGGGCGUAAAGGGUGCGUAGGCGGCCUGCUAAGUCUGGAGUGAAAGGUACCGGCUCAACCGGUACAGGCUCUGGAAACUGGCGGGCUAGAGAGCAGGAGAGGGCGGUGGAACUCCAUGUGUAGCGGUAAAAUGCGUAGAUAUAUGGAAGAACACCAGUGGCGAAGGCGGCCGCCUGGCCUGUUACUGACGCUGAGGCACGAAAGCGUGGGGAGCAAAUA
rnacentral:rRNA from 1 species